CUGUUUGAGCAUCCUAAGCCAUGCCUUCAAUGAAUUGUGGUUUUCCUUGAGGUUUCCUCUUUCCAUGAAAAAAAAAAGGAAUUAAAAGAAAAAAAAAAAAAAAAGAAGAACUUGACGUGAUGAAGUCAAUAGGAAUGUUUUGGGUUCCAUUUAACUUCUCAAGCUAUUUCUACCCAAUCCCGCGUUUAGUAUAGUUCUUAAUCUGUUCCGAAGUUGAACCAUAGAUUCCAUAAAUCGGAUACAAAGUCCUCAAAGUAAAGGAGCCGAGAACCAGGAAUUGCAGAAAUGGCCAGCAAUGGAAGAAACAAUCUGCAGAGAUUCGAAUUCGAUGUAUUCCUGAGCUUCAGGGGCAAAGACACUCGAAAGAACUUGACGUCCACGGAAUCCUGUGUGGUAUCUAAAUGAGCUUAAGCAGAAGGAGCGAUACGGCGAUGCUGAUGUGGAGAAAUGGAAGAAGGCUCUGAGAAAUGUGAGAUUGAUGUCGGAAUGUUACAUUAAUGAGGAUGCAGGGGAUGAGUAUGUUCAACCUCAUGUGUUUUACCA